UCCUAAUUUUUUCCCCGUUACAAAACCCGAUAACUCUUUCAAAACCAAAAAAUAAAUCUCACCCUUUCCUUCCCUAAACCAGCAGCGUCUCUUCUUUGCUCCCAGCCUCACACUAAAACGUCUCCUUCCCUAAACGUAGAACUCACCCUUUCCUCCCUCCAAAAUCAAAACCCAAAAUCCUUCCCUAAACCAGCAGCGUCUCUUCUUUGCUCGCAACCUCACACACUAAAACAUCUCCUUCCCUAAACCUAAAACUCACCCUUUCCUUCCUCCAAAAUCAAAACCCAAAACUCAAAUUCUUUCCCCGUCGCCGCCGCCGCUACAGAUGGCCACCAUUACGGAUCGCCGCUACAGAUGGCCACCACUCAGAUUCUCACACAACCACCGUCACUUCUCCGUAAACAUUACCAGAAGAGGGAUGCAAAUAAGGUGCUUGGUGAAGUGCAUAACAGGAAGUACUCAGGUGUGUUUUUCACUAAUCAAAUCAAUCACACUGAAUUUAUAUAUGAAAUGGGAAAAAGCUACAAUUGUUGUUGGGGUUUUUUUAGUUGCAAAUGCUCUUGAGCAUUUGAAGCGGACAACUACAUAUAAAAAGGUUGAACAUGACUCAGUUACUCCAGGUAAGUGCCUAAUUGUUAUUUCCAUAUUCUUGAAGCGAUUAAUAUUCUAGGUACCUGAAGGUUUUGAGAGCAUGAUUUUUUUCCAAAAUAAUUUCUAGACCAAAAGGAUUUUGAUAAUUUCCCUUCGCUUUGUUGGUGGCAGUGUUUGGUUAGUGCGGAAGGUUCAAAACUGUUAUUCAUAGUAGUGGUUUCUGUAUCUGUUGUCUUUGGCUUAUCUUCAAUUGUCAUGAAUUUCAUAUUAGUUUUGUGUGUCCUGUGAUAUUGGUGCUGGUGAAUUAUAAUUGGUAAGUGUUGAUUGCUAUUAUCAGAUACGUUGAUCUCUUACUUCCCAGCCUUUGUUUAUUAUCAAGUAUCAAGGUCAAUGUUUGAUAGCAAUUUCAAAUUAUCUAUUAGUUAGUCUGAUUGGGGGCUGCAAAAGUAGGAAAUGAAAAUUAUGGAAUUCUGCUUUUGUUUGUGAAGUUUUGCAAGGCAGGACAGUUAUGAUGGGGGAGCUUUAGUUGUAGUGCUUGAUAGAAGAAUGAAGCAAUCCAAGAGAGAUCCUUUGGGAUAUAGUGUAGAGUCAUAUUGUGCAACUGUUACAAUGUUGCUUGGGAAGAUACAAAUUCUCACCAAAACUAAAUGGAAUUAUAGAUUCUCACCAACAUGUCUAACAUUUGUUUGAUUUGGCAAAAGCUUUUAUAUCACCAAAGCUAUGAAGCUCAAGCUCCAAUUCUUCCAACUACUGAUACCACUUGGAGAGCCUAA